AACUCUCUCUUUCUCUCUUCUGCAACCUCCUCUUUCACCACCUCUAGACCACCAAAUGGCGAGCUGCGAGCAUCGAUAGACUCGUCUCUUCCUCCUUAUCACGCAUGUGGGAGUUGUUUACGACGAUUUGGCCGGAAAUGUGGAGAUCGAAGCCAACAUUUUUACUGUAGCAAAUUAGUCAACGCCGAUUUCCGGCCACCUCCAGUCAUAAACCCAGGUCCAUUAGAAGCGCCUUAAGCCGCUCUUCAUGCUCGCCAAGUCUCAUAACCCAGAUCGAAGCAUGGAGGAAGAAAGCAUAAUUGGAAAAUUUCACUGUACAUCGGAGUGCUUAAUUGUUCGGCUACUUCAAGGUGAUUGACGGUUUGAGUUGGUGGACGAUUGUGGAUCGUAUUUUGAGCUGAAUUGAAGACGCAGCGGGAUUAUCGAGCGGGUAAUCCUACAGGACAGGAGAACCAGGACGGUGACCGUGCGGUUAGAGCAAUUGUUAGAGUUUUACAGCAAUUGUAAGUUGUGAGGUGUGUUAUGCUCAUUUAGAGCUUUACAAUAUUGCUUGUGAGAGUGAAUUGUAAUAAUGAACUCGAGGUUUCGAGAUUUGGAGUUUGUGUACCUUGUGGUGAGAUUAUAUUGAGAAAAAAAUUCAGAACGUUUAUUUGAUUAAGUGGUUUAAUUCAUGUUUCGGAUUUGAAUUUAUUAUUCAAAAUUCGGGGCGU